rnacentral:lncRNA from 1 species
GCUCAUUUGUUGUCAACAAUCUUUUUAAUGUCAUAUUCUAUAAGAAAAAAAAAAACUUCAAAUAUUAUUGUAGUAUCCUUGGAGUUCAACAUUUGAGACUUGUUGACAUCUCUGAAGAGUAUCAGGAUAAGUUCGAGUCAUGUUGGCGUGAAAUAGAUGUCAACUGGACUCAGGGGGAUGUGAGAGCAGGAAGUUAGCAUUAAAAUCUACAAACCGCAGGAUUUCAGCAUUUAGUACCGGUACCACACAGGGGCGUACCGAUACCAUGUAUAUAUUUUUUUGCACAGACUGCUCUCG